rnacentral:rRNA from 1 species
AUUGAACGCUGGCGGCAGGCCUAACACAUGCAAGUCGAGCGGCAGCGGAAAGCAGCUUGCUACUUUGCCGGCGAGCGGCGGACGGGUGAGUAAUGUCUGGGAAACUGCCUGAUGGAGGGGGAUAACUACUGGAAACGGUAGCUAAUACCGCAUGACCUCGAAAGAGCAAAGUGGGGGAUCUUCGGACCUCACGCCAUCGGAUGUGCCCAGAUGGGAUUAGCUAGUAGGUGAGGUAAUGGCUCACCUAGGCGACGAUCCCUAGCUGGUCUGAGAGGAUGACCAGCCACACUGGAACUGAGACACGGUCCAGACUCCUACGGGAGGCAGCAGUGGGGAAUAUUGCACAAUGGGCGCAAGCCUGAUGCAGCCAUGCCGCGUGUGUGAAGAAGGCCUUAGGGUUGUAAAGCACUUUCAGCGAGGAGGAAGGCAUCAUACUUAAUACGUGUGGUGAUUGACGUUACUCGCAGAAGAAGCACCGGCUAACUCCGUGCCAGCAGCCGCGGUAAUACGGAGGGUGCAAGCGUUAAUCGGAAUUACUGGGCGUAAAGCGCACGCAGGCGGUUUGUUAAGUCAGAUGUGAAAUCCCCGCGCUUAACGUGGGAACUGCAUUUGAAACUGGCAAGCUAGAGUCUUGUAGAGGGGGGUAGAAUUCCAGGUGUAGCGGUGAAAUGCGUAGAGAUCUGGAGGAAUACCGGUGGCGAAGGCGGCCCCCUGGACAAAGACUGACGCUCAGGUGCGAAAGCGUGGGGAGCAAACAGG